rnacentral:rRNA from 1 species
AACGAACGCUGGCGGCAGGCUUAACACAUGCAAGUCGAGCGCCCCGCAAGGGGAGCGGCCGACGGGUGAGUAACGCGUGGGAACGUACCUUUUGGUUCGGAACAACUCCGGGAAACUGGAGCUAAUACCGGAUAAGCCCUAACGGGGAAAGAUUUAUCGCCGAAAGAUCGGCCCGCGUCUGAUUAGCUAGUUGGUGAGGUAACGGCUCACCAAGGCGACGAUCAGUAGCUGGUCUGAGAGGAUGAUCAGCCACACUGGGACUGAGACACAGCCCAGACUCCUACGGGAGGCAGCAGUGGGGAAUAUUGGACAAUGGGCGCAAGCCUGAUCCAGCCAUGCCGCGUGAGUGAUGAAGGCCUUAGGGUUGUAAAGCUCUUCUGUCCGGGAAGAUAAUGACUGUACCGGAAGAAUAAGCCCCGGCUAACUUCGUG